GAAGGCGCCAGGCUCGGCAGGAUCAAAAAGGAAGCUACCUCAGGGAGAAUAGGCAAUAGUUAACUCUACUUAACCAACUGUGCUCAAAAAGUUGAAUGUCUCGUGCAUGGCUGGAAGGGGAACAUUCUCACAGUCUGCUACAGAAGGGGCUGGUGGGUCAGACUGCUUCAAUUACCCUGAUAGGAUACAUGUGGCCGCUAUCAGCUCUGGCAUCUUCCCUCGAUGGGGCUUCAAUUGACUGGCUUUUCGAGAAAAACAGCCCACUCCUCUCAGAUACUGGAACUGCAUGCUGCAACCUUGCGAUUCUGAUGCCCUGAUGAAGUCCUGAAUCCUCUGUGUUCUGGCUGACAUCGAUGCAACAUUUUUGUUGGGGGCGAGACUGCAUAUGGGUGGUUGAAGAUUGAAUUAAAAGCCAAUUUUAUACUGUAAAUCAGACGUGGUUACAUGUGUUACAUAAUCUAUGUAUAUGCUUAUUAACAUUUGUGUAGUAAAGGCAGCUGCGCCAGAGCCUCUUCAAAUAACGGGGUGAGGGUGUAGUAAUCGAUAUGCAUUGCAGUUACCUGAGUUUAGAAAUUACUGAAACCUCUCUUUCACUCUCUCUCUCUCUCUCUCUCUCUCUCUCUCUCUCUCUCUCUCUCUCUCUCUCUCUCUCACGAAAUGUUUCAGUAUCUAUAUAUACAUUCUAUAUAAA